AGAACGAACGCUGGCGGCAUGCCUAAUACGUGCAAGUCGAACGAACUCUUCGGAGUUAGUGGCGCACGGGUGCGUAACGCGUGGGAAUCUGCCCCUUGGUUCGGAAUAACAGUUGGAAACGACUGCUAAUACCGGAUGAUGACGAAAGUCCAAAGAUUUAUCGCCGAGGGAUGAGCCCGCGUAGGAUUAGCUAGUUGGUGAGGUAAAGGCUCACCAAGGCAACGAUCCUUAGCCUGGUCUGAGAGGAUGAUCAGCACACUGGGACUGAGACACGGCCCAGACUCCUACGGGAGGCAGCA
rnacentral:rRNA from 1 species